CAUGCACAGGUGUUGCACGGCCGUCGUCAGCUCGUGCCGUGAGGUGUUGGGUUAAGUCCCGCAACGAGCGCAACCCCUGUCGCCAGUUGUAUUUUUCUGGCGAGACUGCCGAGAAAACCUCGGAGGAAGGAGGGGACGAUGUCAGGUCAGCGUGGCCCUUACGCCUGGGGCUACACACACGCUACAAUGGGCAGUACAACGGGUCGCUAAGCCGCGAGGCGGAGCCAAUCCCAUCAAAGCUGUCCUCAGUUCGGAUUGCAGGCUGAAACCCGCCUGCAUGAAGCCGGAGUUGCUAGUAACCGCAGGUCAGCAUUACUGCGGUGAAUACGUUCCCGGGCCUU
rnacentral:rRNA from 1 species